rnacentral:rRNA from 1 species
UACGAAGGGGGCGAGCGUUGUUCGGAAUCACUGGGCGUAAAGAGUGCGUAGGCGGUUAUGAAAGUUAGGAGUGAAAGCCCCAGGCUCAACUUGGGAAUUGCUUUUAAAACUACAUGACUUGAAAUCGGGAGAGGAUAGCGGAAUUCUCAGUGUAGCAGUGAAAUGCGUAGAUAUUGAGAGGAACACCAGUGGCGUAAGCGGCUAUCUGGACCGACAUUGACGCUGAGGCACGAAAGCGUGGGGAUCAAACAGG